rnacentral:tRNA from 1 species
GGCCGGCUGGGUUGCAGCGGCUGCGGCUGCGGCGUUGCUGGCCGCAUGCGGCGGCGCGCCGACGCGGACCUCGGCGCUCAAGCCGCCCACCGGCGC